rnacentral:siRNA from 1 species
UGACUUUCUUCUGCAUGUCAC